rnacentral:rRNA from 1 species
GGACUACCGGGGUAUCUAAUCCUGUUUGCUACCCACGCUUUCGUGCCUCAGCGUCAGUUACGGUCCAGAAAGCCGUUUACACCACCGGUGUUCCUCCUGAUAUCUACGCAUUUCACCGCUACACCAGGAAUUCCACUUUCCUCUCCCGCACUCUAGCCCUGCAGUUAAUAGCGCACCCUCCCAGUUAAGCCGGGAGAUUUCACACCAUACUUACAAGGCCGCCUACGCACCCUUUACGCCCAGUAACUCCGAACAACGCUUGCUGCCUACGUAUUACCGCGGCGGCUGGCAC